rnacentral:lncRNA from 10 species
CUUGUCUCAAAAGAAAAAAAAAAAAGAAAAUUGUCUAUUUCUAAAAACCUGUAUUUAAACCUCAUCAUUUCCCCUCAAACAAGUAGCUUGUAUAAAAUUACUCAUAACAUGAACAUGCUAAAGAAAUUCUUUUGAAUGAUGAAAAGUUACUUUGUACAUUAUAUUAAAAUUUAUUUUCUAUGUAUACCCAAAUUUUCAAGUAUUAGAUUUACUUAGAAAUUCACCAGUGUUAUCAUUAUACAAUUGGCUGGAAUUAACAGUUGCAAUACAGUUAUUCUAGCUUUUCAUAUUCAAUUUGAAUGAUCAGAAAAGUAUAUUAGUCACACAGAAUUAAAUAUUUUAGAUAGUAAGAAUCUUACACUUUAUUAGAUAAUAAAACAUAAUUGAUAUUUGCUUAAGUAACAAAAAAGUUAAGAAAUUGGGUUAUAAGCAAAGGAACAUAAGUGUAAAAUGUGUAGAAAGAUAAAUAUUUUCCAAAUAAAAUUCUAAUAAAAGGCUAAACAUUCUCAAAUAUUUUACAUACAUGAAGAAUAAAUUAUUUCUGGUUAACAUGUUUUUGCCUUAGUGCCAAAAAAGCCAGAACAAAUUUGAUAAGCUCACAUUAAAAUCAAAGUUUUCUAGAUAUGAAUUCUAUAUACCAUCUCUAUAUUUGUUUAGAAUUUUGCAAAAUUCUUAGAAGAUUGCAUGUUAGGGUGGGGGAAGAUAAAUGCUUGCCAAUACUGACAUGGUUAAUUAACAGACAGGCUUGAAAGGAGAAGGCUAGAAGAGGGAAGAUUAUGUCACUAAGCAUAGCUACAAAAGGAAAAGCCACAUGGAAGCAGAGACAAAGGCAAUCCCGACACACAGAGGCAUGUUUGUUGCGGCUCAGGGUUUCUGUUUUUCAAGUGUUCAGAGACGAAUUCCAGCAAGACUUCUGGUUUGAGUCAAGCCUUUCAACCGAGGUGCUUGGCAUACUUAACGGAAAAAGCGAGUACAUUCAGAUUUAGUUUUGCUAGAUAUUAAACUAGAAAACUGGAUGACAGUAAAACCAAUACAGAAACAAAAAGUCAUGUUUCCAGUAAAGAACCGUACACACAAGCAGGUUUUGCUUAUUAAUGUAGCAGGAGAGCAUGGAAAUCGGAGUUCAGACUCUUUAGAAAAGACAAAAGGCAGGGGAGGGGAGAGAAGAAAAGGAGGAAUGCAGAGAAGCCCUCCAAGAAUGAUGAGUGAUUCGUGCAGGAGAGGGAAAUACAGACGUUCCGUCCAUGUGAGAUUCUGCUUCAGGUAUUGGACAUCGUUCCCUCCACCUGCACCUAGAGGAUAUGUGUUCAGGAUCUCGCUAUGGUUAGUUACCCAUGUGCUAGACAUAGGUUGCUAGCUAGAAGUUUUGCCAGCCAUCUUCCCCCCUCCUAGUGCUAAUGCCUAAUUUCCUAAAGUAAUCUGAAUCCUUAUAAGCCAGGGUAGCUCAGGAGGUUCUAUUUACUUAUUUAUUUAUUUUGAGACAGAGUCUCACUGUGUCGCCCAGGCAGAUCUCGUCUGGGCCCGAGUCUCGUUGCAGUGGUGUAAUCUCUGCUCACUGCAACCUCUGCCUCCCAGGUUCAUGCAAUUUUCCUGUCUCAGCCUCCCGAGUAGCUAGGAUUACAGGGGUGUGCCACCACGCCUGGCUAAUUUUUCUAUUUUUAGUAGCGAGAGCAUUUCGUCAUGUUGGCCAGUCUGGUCUCCAACUCCUGACCUCAGGUGAUCUGCCUGCCUUGGCCUCCCAAAGUGCUGGGAUUAUAGGCAUGAGCCACCGCACCCAGCAUCAGUAAGUUUUAAUAUUACGUCUAGUCGGCUCACGGGUGCUUGAGCCAGAAGUGGGAAGGGUACACUUGUAUUUUGGGCUCAAAUGGUUUUCAAAUAAAAUACAUCUGACCAAAUAAAGUGAACACAGUCCUGAGCCCUCCUCUCUCCAGAUAUGCAUGCAAUCCACACCAUCAAAAGAAGAGUUCACUGUUCCCAAGGCCAAGAAGAGGCUAUGCUGUACUGCAAAGAACUCUAUAGCAAAAUCGAACACCCAAAUUAAGUGCCAGAAUGAUGCAGCCCGCUCUCACCAGGAAGAACGACAUGUGAGAAAACUUAUAGCAGAUGCAAAAAUGUCAACCCACCAUGUUAUUUAAAAAAAAAUUUUAUCAGGAUACAAGGACACUUCACUGUUUUUAACCCACACAAGGUUAGGUAAUGUUUACCUUGAAACAUAAUCGCAUAUGGCCCUUUAUGCCACUCACCUAGGCCUUUAAUAAUGAGGGCAAUUGCUAAGUGUGCUGUCUCUUCUGGGGACUUCUCUCUGAAAGGGGGAUGAUAUAUUGAUAAAAUAUUUUAUUAAUCAGUUAAGAAUUUUUGAUCUACUUGAAAAAGAUUAAAUUAUAAUAUUUCACUUUGAAACUGCUAUUGCUCAUGCAAAAGUACUUGAUUUUCAUACUAUAUGGAGCUCACAAUCUUUGGACUACACAAACAUUCUCUAAAAGGGCAAUGACUUAUAUUUUCCAAAGUUUAGACAUGACAUCCAAAGGACAAAAGGUAACUAUUUUUUUUACCAAUGUGGUUGGAACAGUGACAACGAGCAAUGUAUUCACCAAACUGAUCAAAAAAUCUGCCUGUGCUGGUUGUGGGCAAGGGGAUAUUCAUUAAUGACAUAAAUUUCAUUUAUGAAAUAUGUAUCCAUCAUCUAGGUAUCUUAUACAUGGAGAGCUGACUGCAUCCCUUGUAUAAAAAGUAAAUGAAGACCGGAAGGAAGCAGACUUUGUCCUGCAAACUGAAGCAAAGUUCCAUGCUAAGAAUCAGCAGGUUUUCUAGGUAGGUAAUGCCACCAGUGGAGGAUUAUUACAGUUCUCAAAUCAUGAGGGAAAGAGAUGGAGAAGAGGGAGGGAGGAGGGAAAAUCUUGCAUUCUAAGAGGUAAGAGUCCCCAUUACAAUUGCAAUGCUUCUUUAGACAGCUGAUUUUUCUGGCUGGAAGGCACAUUAAAAAUAACCCUAACAAUAACUUACCAAGACAAUGGAAAUCAAAAGAAAAGAAGGUAGACGUGCAGCUGUCUUAUUAACAUGACAACCAACUACAGCUGAAACAAUACUAUGGUACAGGGACUAGCUCAUGUUAAAGACUGGUUAUUUAGGUAAAGAGGAUCUGGUGCUCUUGGUUUAGCUUCAGUGAUUUUCCAGCACUUAUUAAAGCCAUUGUGCCCUGAACAUGGAGACCCCCAAAUCCUCUAUGUGCCAAAGAUUAAGUUGUAGAGAAUUACAUCAAUGUUUGCUGUUGGUGUGCACCACAGAUGAGACCAAGCUUCCUGGUCCGGCUAAGUGGAAUCUUCCAUGCACUGUGCACCACUCAGCUAGAAAGUCAACUAAGCAGAAAGGAGAUAAGGAAUGGCUAUGGAAUACCUGACUUCUUUAUCUUGGUUAUGUGUCCACAAUUUUCAUAAAAAUAAAUAAUACACAUUAAGUCAAAAUCUGGGCUCAAAUGUGUAACAAGAAAACAAAAGGACAACAAUCUGGUAUUCCGGUUUUUUUUUUUUUUUUGAGACGGAGUCUCGCUCUGUUGCCCAGGCUGGAGUGCAGUGACGUGAUCUCGGCUCACUACAAGCUCCGCCUCCCAGGUUCACACCUUAGCCUCCCGAGUAGCUGGGACUACAGGCGCCCGCCACCACGCCCGCCUAAUGUUUUAAUUUUUUAGUAGAGACGGGGUUUCACCGUGUUGGCCAGGCUGGUCUCGAACUCCUGACCUCAGGUAAUCCACCUGCCUCAGCCUCCCAAAGUGCUGGAAUUACAGGUGUGAGCCACCGCACCCAGCCAACAAUCUGGUAUUCUUAAGGCAAAACAGUAGAAAUCACUUUAAAUAGACACUUUAUUAGAUCCACAGGCGAUAAAAUCCCAGAGCUACUGUUAGGCACGUAAAUAUAGACCCUGUAAGAAAAAAACAAUUGAGAGUACUAUUAGUUCUAUUAAGAGUUACUUGAGGGAACAUCUUUUUUUAAGAAAACCUAAAAAAGAAAACCUAGAAACUUAGAUUGCUCACUGAUGUCCCAUAUUCCGUGAAACGCCUGCCUACUGAAAAAACAAAUCCCACACCCUUUAUUUUAUUUUCUUAUUUUAGAGACAUGGUCUCAUCUGGUACCCAGGAGGAGUGCACCAUGCAAUGGUAUGAUUACAGCUCACUGUGCCUCAAACUCCCGGGCUCAAGUGACCCUCCUGCCUCAGCCUCCCAAGAAGCUGAAGCUACAGGCAGAUGACACCAUGCCCGGCUAAAUCUUUUUGUAGAGACUAGGUCUCGCUGUGUUGCCUAGGCUAAGAAAACUUUUCAAUAAAAGUUUCGAAUAGCAAAAAUUCUGUGGUCACAAGGUCUAUGUAUAUGCACUAUAGAGACAGGAAGACACAAUUUAAUAUAAAGAACAACAUUUCACUGUUAAAUAAUGCUGUAACCUUAAAAUAUUUAAUUAAUCCAAGACGUUAAAUCUGACUUGAAAUAAUGGUUAAUUUGGGUGGGGGGUGGUACAUGAAUGUUCAUUCUCUCUUUUGGAUCAAAAAUCGCGAAAGUAAAAUAACUCCUUAAAAGGAGUUUAAGCAAUUGAAGCAGAAAGAUUACAACUGAAACACCUUCCAUUUUAUCCAUAAAAUAUUUCCUGUCUUGAAUCUCAUUAAAAUCCCUAAUAACUAUAGUUCAAUUAUAGUAUCUUAUCAAAUUUCCAAUUCUAUCAAUUAUAACGUACACAAUUACUUUAUUUACUACUAAGAAAGAAAAAGUGCCAAUUAAACUAUGAUACUUCAUCUACUGGAAAUUGUAAGAUGCUUUCCAAUUUCAGAGAUGUUAAAAUAUUUCAGAAAGUGUUGGAAUCAAUGAAAUGCAGUAUCUGUCAACGACUUAUUUUAUAAAUUUAUUUUCUUUUCAGGUUGAUUUAAAUAGAUACAAAAUAGCUUACCUGCUAAAUAUUUAAUAUU